ACGAACGCUGGCGGCGUGCCUAAUACAUGCAAGUAGAACGCUGAAGAGAGGAGCUUGCUCUUCUUGGAUGAGUUGCGAACGGGUGAGUAACGCGUAGGUAACCUGCCUGGUAGCGGGGGAUAACUAUUGGAAACGAUAGCUAAUACCGCAUAAAAUUGAUUAUUGCAUGAUAGUCAAUUGAAAGGUGCAACUGCACCACUACCAGAUGGACCUGCGUUGUAUUAGCUAGUUGGUGGGGUAACGGCUCACCAAGGCGACGAUACAUAGCCGACCUGAGAGGGUGAUCGGCCACACUGGGACUGAGACACGGCCCAGACUCCUACGGGAGGCAGCAGUAGGGAAUCUUCGGCAAUGGACGGAAGUCUGACCGAGCAACGCCGCGUGAGUGAAGAAGGUUUUCGGAUCGUAAAGCUCUGUUGUAAGAGAAGAACGAGUGUGAGAGUGGAAAGUUCACACUGUGACGGUAUCUUACCAGAAAGGGACGGCUAACUACGUGCCAGCAGCCGCGGUAAUACGUAGGUCCCGAGCGUUGUCCGGAUUUAUUGGGCGUAAAGCGAGCGCAGGCGGUUAGAUAAGUCUGAAGUUAAAGGCUGUGGCUUAACCAUAGUACGCUUUGGAAACUGUUUAACUUGAGUGCAAGAGGGGAGAGUGGAAUUCCAUGUGUAGCGGUGAAAUGCGUAGAUAUAUGGAGGAACACCGGUGGCGAAAGCGGCUCUCUGGCUUGUAACUGACGCUGAGGCUCGAAAGCGUGGGGAGCAAACAGGAUUAGAUACCCUGGUAGUCCACGCCGUAAACGAUGAGUGCUAGGUGUUAGACCCUUUCCGGGGUUUAGUGCCGCAGCUAACGCAUUAAGCACUCCGCCUGGGGAGUACGACCGCAAGGUUGAAACUCAAAGGAAUUGACGGGGGCCCGCACAAGCGGAGGAACAUGUGGUUUAAUUCGAUGAUACGCGAGGAACCUUACCUGGGUUUAAAUGUAUAUUGCAUAAUCUGGAAACAGUUUUUCUCUUCGGAGCUAUAUACAAGGUGCUGCAUGGUUGUCGUCAGCUCGUGUCGUGAGAUGUUGGGUUAAGUCCCGCAACGAGCGCAACCCCUAUUGUUAGUUGCCAUCAUUUAGUUGGGCACUCUAGCGAGACUGCCGGUAAUAAACCGGAGGAAGGUGGGGAUGACGUCAAAUCAUCAUGCCCCUUAUGACCUGGGCUACACACGUGCUACAAUGGCUGGUACAACGAGUCGCAAGCCGGUGACGGCAAGCUAAUCUCUUAAAGCCAGUCUCAGUUCGGAUUGUAGGCUGCAACUCGCCUACAUGAAGUCGGAAUCGCUAGUAAUCGCGGAUCAGCACGCCGCGGUGAAUACGUUCCCGGGCCUUGUACACACCGCCCGUCACACCACGAGAGUUUGUAACACCCGAAGUCGGUGAGGUAACCGUAAGGAGCCAGCCGCCUAAGGUGGGAUAGAUGAUUGGGGUG
rnacentral:rRNA from 1 species